rnacentral:rRNA from 1 species
GUAUAGCAAUAGCUACUUGCAUCAUAGUAGAUAUGAUGCAAGAUCGACUAUGUUGAAUAAAAUUCUAGGUAGAAUUAUGAUAAUGACAUUGUCUGCCUAUGUGUCUUGACCAAAUUACGUGCCAGCAGUCGCGGUAAUACGUAGAAGACUAGUGUUAUUCAUGUUUAAUCGGUUUAAAGGGUACCUAGACGGUAGAUCAAGCUUUCUAAUAAAGGAAAAGGACUAAUUUACUAGAGUUACUUAUGAGGGGGUAUUAAAGUACUGCUGGUGUAGAGAUGAAAUUCUGUCAUACCUCUUUUCAAAAGAAAAACCAUGGCACAGGUAUAGGCGAAGGCAUCCCCUUAUGUGAUAACUGACGUUGAGGGACGAAGGCUUUGUGUAGCGAACAGGAUUAGAUACCCCAGUAGUCGAAGCAGAAAAUGAUGAAUGUCAUAGAUUAGAUAUAUAAGUUUAUUCUAUAAAUGAAAGUGUAAGCAUUCCACCUCAUGAGUAAUUUGGCAACAUUGGAACUGAAAUCAUUAGACCGUUUCUGAAACCAGUAGUGAAGUAUGUUGUUUAAUUUGAUGAUCCGCAAAAAACCUUACCACAAUUUGAAUAUUUAUAUUCUUUAUUGUUUUAUUAUUAAUUUUCUUGAACGUAAAAAUCACGUAAAAGUAUAUUUACAAGCGUUGCACGGCUGUCUUCAGUUAAUGUCGCGAGACUUUGGUUAGUUCCAUUAAAUUAACGUAAACCCUUACUUUAUUUUUAUAUAGAGUAGUUCCCCGCUAUAUUGGAUAUGAUAACAGG